GAUGAACGCUGGCGGCGUGCCUAAUACAUGCGAGUCGAGCGAACAGACGAGGAGCUUGCUCCUCUGACGUUAGCGGCGGACGGGUGAGUAACACGUGGAUAACCUACCUAUAAGACUGGGAUAACUUCGGGAAACCGGAGCUAAUACCGGAUAAUAUAUUGAACCGCAUGGUUCAAUAGUGAAAGACGGUUUUGCUGUCACUUAUAGAUGGAUCCGCGCCGCAUUAGCUAGUUGGUAAGGUAACGGCUUACCAAGGCAACGAUGCGUAGCCGACCUGAGAGGGUGAUCGGCCACACUGGAACUGAGACACGGUCCAGACUCCUACGGGAGGCAGCAGUAGGGAAUCUUCCGCAAUGGGCGAAAGCCUGACGGAGCAACGCCGCGUGAGUGAUGAAGGUCUUCGGAUCGUAAAACUCUGUUAUUAGGGAAGAACAAAUGUGUAAGUAACGAUGCACGUCUUGACGGUACCUAAGCAGAAAGCCACGGCUAACUACGU
rnacentral:rRNA from 1 species